rnacentral:rRNA from 1 species
AUUGAACGCUGGCGGCAGGCCUAACACAUGCAAGUCGAAUGGUAACAGGAAACAGCUUGCUGUUUCGCUGACGAGUGGCGGACGGGUGAGUAAUGUCUGGGAAACUGCCUGAUGGAGGGGGAUAACUACUGGAAACGGUAGCUAAUACCGCAUAACGUCGCAAGACCAAAGAGGGGGACCUUCGGGCCUCUUGCCAUCAGAUGUGCCCAGAUGGGAUUAGCUAGUAGGUGGGGUAACGGCUCACCUAGGCGACGAUCCCUAGCUGGUCUGAGAGGAUGACCAGCCACACUGGAACUGAGACACGGUCCAGACUCCUACGGGAGGCAGCAGUGGGGAAUAUUGCACAAUGGGCGCAAGCCUGAUGCAGCCAUGCCGCGUGUAUGAAGAAGGCCUUCGGGUUGUAAAGUACUUUCAGCGGGGAGGAAGGGAGUAAAGUUAAUACCUGUGCUCAUUGACGUUACCCGCAGAAGAAGCACCGGCUAACUCCGU